AUCACAUUUCAAAUCAAGUGUGGUAUCUGUUCUCAUCAGCUUAAUAUCUGAUACGUCCCCCAUCGGGGGACAACAUAUUAAAUGCUCCCGAGUGGUGCAGCGGUCUAAGGCACUGCAU
rnacentral:snRNA from 2 species